rnacentral:tRNA from 13 species
GGGGAUAUAGCUCAGUUGGGAGAGCGUUUGAAUGGCAUUCAAAAGGUCGUCGGUUCGAUCCCGAUUAUCUCCACCA